rnacentral:rRNA from 1 species
CCUUGUACACACCGCCCGUCAAGCCACGAAAGUCGACAGUACCCGAAGUCGUGUACCCAACCCGCAAGGGAGGGAAGCGCCCACGGUAAGGUCGAUGAUUGGGACU